GGAGAGGUGUCAGAGCGGCUGAAUGAGCACGCUUGGAAAGCGUGUGUGUCGGCAACGGCACCGGGGGUUCGAAUCCCCCCCUCUCCGCCA
rnacentral:tRNA from 4 species